rnacentral:rRNA from 1 species
CGGGACACGUGGUAUCCUGUCUGAAUAUGGGGGGACCAUCCUCCAAGGCUAAAUACUCCUGACUGACCGAUAGUGAACCAGUACCGUGAGGGAAAGGCGAAAAGAACCCCGGCGAGGGGAGUGAAAAAGAACCUGAAACCGUGUACGUACAAGCAGUGGGAGCACGCUUAGGCGUGUGACUGCGUACCUUUUGUAUAAUGGGUCAGCGACUUAUAUUCUGUAGCAAGGUUAACCGAAUAGGGGAGCCGAAGGGAAACCGAGUCUUAACUGGGCGUUAAGUUGCAGGGUAUAGACCCGAAACCCGGUGAUCUAGCCAUGGGCAGGUUGAAGGUUGGGUAACACUAACUGGAGGACCGAACCGACUAAUGUUGAAAAAUUAGCGGAUGACUUGUGGCUGGGGGUGAAAGGCCAAUCAAACCGGGAGAUAGCUGGUUCUCCCCGAAAGCUAUUUAGGUAGCGCCUCGUGAAUUCAUCUCCGGGGGUAGAGCACUGUUUCGGCAAGGGGGUCAUCCCGACUUACCAACCCGAUGCAAACUGCGAAUACCGGAGAAUGUUAUCACGGGAGACACACGGCGGGUGCUAACGUCCGUCGUGAAGAGGGAAACAACCCAGACCGCCAGCUAAGGUCCCAAAGUCAUGGUUAAGUGGGAAACGAUGUGGGAAGGCCCAGACAGCCAGGAUGUUGGCUUAGAAGCAGCCAUCAUUUAAAGAAAGCGUAAUAGCUCACUGGUCGAGUCGGCCUGCGCGGAAGAUGUAACGGGGCUAAACCAUGCACCGA